rnacentral:rRNA from 1 species
GUGAACCUGCGGAAGGAUCAUUAUUGAAAAAAUGAGUGCACUUAAUUGUGACUCAAAAUUCAAAAUUUUAAAAAACCCUUACCUUAUUACAUGUUUCUUUAUUAGAUACAUAGUAAUUUGGUAUACGUAACUUUAGUUUAGAAAUAAACUUUAGUUGCAUUACCCCCCUUACUUUUUGUUUUAAAAACUUGUCUUAAGAAUGUAAAACCUUUAAAAUAAUAUAACUUUUAACAAUGGAUCUCUAGGCUCUCACAUCGAUGAAGAACACAGUGAAAUGUGAUAAGUAAUGUGAAUUGCAGAAUUCAGUGAAUCAUCGAAUCUUUGAACGCACCUUGCACCUUUUGGUAUUCCAAAAGGUACACCUGUUUGAGUGUCAUGAAAACUAAUCAUUAUGAAAUUUUUUUAUGAAGAUUUUUUAAUGGAUGUUGAGUGUUGCUGUAAUUAGCUCACUUUAAAUAUAUAAGUUUUUUUCUUACUAAAAAUUUGGAUUGACUUAAUGUGAUAUAUUAUCUUCAUUAAGGAUUGUAUCUUUUGAUACUGCCAUAUUAACUCAUUAGUAUUGAAAUUGCUUCUAACUUGUCUAUUAAUGACAUAAUCUUUAAGACCUCAAAUCAGGUGGGACUACCCGCUGAACUUAAGCAUAUCAAUAAGCGGAGGAAAAGAAACUAACAAGGAUUCCCCUAGUAACGGCGAGUGAAGAGGGAAAAGCCC